UUGAGCUUAUGUUGGUUAAUGCGACUUUUUAUUACUCGUUGUGUAGAUCAUGGACUAUAAUCUGAUAUCAAUUAAGGUUGAGGCAGUUGUUUAAGACAAGCAAGAAA